UUUUGAUAAUCAUGGGCCCAGAGAGGCCCCUAAUACAAUUAUAAUACAGACAAAAUAAUAUGGGGGCAGUAAGAUUUCUUUUGAUGGAGCCCAAAAUCCC